rnacentral:lncRNA from 1 species
GUCGGGAGACGCCCAUUAGCCACCAUCACACUGGGAAUCAUAGCUUCCACACAAGUUUCAUCAGGUGGUGUUUGAGUCGGGAGACGCCCAUUAGCUACCAUCACACUGGGAAUCAAGCUUCCACACCAGUUCAGUCAGGGUGUUGGUUGAGUCGGGAGACGCCCAUUAGCUACCAUCACACUGGGAAUCAUAGCUUCCACACCAGUUUCAUCAGGGUUGUGUUGAGUCGGGAGACGCCCAUUAGCUACCAUCACGCGGGAAUCAUAGCUUCCACACCAGUUCAUCAGGGUGUGUGUUGAGUCGGGAGACGCCCAUUAGCUACCAUCACACGGGAAUCAGAGCUGCCACACCAGUUCAUCAGGGUGUGGUUGAGUCGGGAGACGCCCAUUAGCUAAACCAUCACGCUGGGAUCAUAGCUUCCACACCAGUUCAUCAGGGUGGGUGUUGAGUCGGGAGACCGCCCAUUAGCUACCAUCACGGCUGGGAAUCAUAGCUUCCACACCAGUUCAUCAGGGUGUGUGUUGAGUCGAAGACGCCCAGUAGCUACCAUACGCGCUGGGAACAUAGCUUUCCACAACCAGUUCAUCAGGGUGUGGGUUUGAGUCGGGAGACGCCCAUUAGCUACCAUCACACUGGGAAUCAUAGCUUUCACACCAGUUCAUCAGGGGGUGUGUUGAGUCGGGAGACGCCCAUUAGCUACCAUCACACUGGGAAUCAUAAGCUUCCACACCAGUUUCAUGCAGGGUGUGUGUUGAGUCGGGAGACGCCCAUUAGCUACCAUCACACUGGGAAUCAUAGCUUCCACACCAGUUCAUCAGGGUGUGUGUUGAGUCGGGAGACGCCCAGUAGCUACCAUC